UUGGAACCGGGAGAGGUAAGAGGUACUACAGGGGUAGGAGUGAAAUCUUGUAAUCCCUGUGGGACCACCUGUGGCGAAGGCGUCUUACCAGAACGGGUUCGACGGUGAGGGACGAAGCUGGGGGCACGAACCGGAUUAGAUACCCGGGUAGUCCCAGCCGUAAACGAUGCUCGCUAGGUGUCAGGCAUGGCGCGACCGUGUCUGGUGCCGCAGGGAAGCCGUGAAGCGAGCCACCUGGGAAGUACGGCCGCAAGGCUGAAACUUAAAGGAAUUGGCGGGGGAGCACAACAACGGGUGGAAGCCUGCGGUUUAAUUGGACUCAACGCCGGACAACUCACCGGGGGCGACAGCAAUAUGUAGGCCAAGCUGAAGACUUUGCCUGAAUCGCUGAGGGGUGGUGCAUGG
rnacentral:rRNA from 1 species